rnacentral:rRNA from 1 species
UACGUAGGGUCCGAGCGUUGUCCGGAAUUACUGGGCGUAAAGAGCUCGUAGGCGGUUUGUCGCGUUGUUCGUGAAAACUCACGGCUCAACUGUGGGCGUGCGGGCGAUACGGGCAGACUUGAGUACUGCAGGGGAGACUGGAAUUCCUGGUGUAGCGGUGGAAUGCGCAGAUAUCAGGAGGAACACCGGUGGCGAAGGCGGGUCUCUGGGCAGUAACUGACGCUGAGGAGCGAAAGCGUGGGGAGCGAACAGG